rnacentral:rRNA from 1 species
GCUUACGGUCGUACCACCUUGUGUGUGCCUGAUCUCAUCAGAUCUCGGAAGCUAAGCAGGGUCGAGCCUGGUUAGUAUUUGGAUGGGAGACCGCCUGGGAAUACCAGAUGCUGUAAGCU